CUAGCUGUGCGGAAGCACAACUGGACCCGCCCUGUCAGAGCUCAAUUAAAGAGUUCAUUGAUGGCGUUCCGCCGCCAUUUUGGGCUGGGAGGAGGCAGCGGAGGGACUCGCUGCGCUCUCUAGAAAUCACACUGAAACUGUUACAUUUACAAACAUUAAAUUUAUUAUAACUUUUUCAGUCUAGUCGCCGAACUUGGAAAGAGGCGCUCGCUCCUGCUGCCGGUGCAGUUCGUUCUCGGUCAGCAGCUGGAGGUUCUCAGCGCGCAGCCGGUCCAGCUCUAGCUCGAGCUCCCGCACUCGCGCGUCGACGCCUCCCAGCCGCUUGCUUUCCAGCCGCAGCCGGUUAUUUUCGUCCUCCUUGCGGGAGAGGCACUUCUCCAGCUCCAGGUACUCUUUGAUGAGCUCCUGCUUGCUCAUGUUCUGCAGGCUCUCGGCGUGGUACCGCUCGUACGUCUCCGAGAAGUCCCGCUGCAGAAACUCGCUGCCGUCCCCUCCCAUGCCAUCGCUGCCUCCGUCUUCCUCACCAGCUUCUUCCACAAAAUCCUCAUCGCUGGUGUCGUCGGAUUUGGCGGCUGCCCGCUUGGGGUAAAGGCCGGUUUUGAGAUCAGGCUCCUCCUGAUCGUGGUCAUCCAUGAGGAACUGCGUGGUGUUAUAGGGCGCAACUGGCUGGCCCUUGGCGAACAUCUCGGCUCGAACCCGCGAAGCUCGCAGGCUCUGCUUCUCGUCGAACUUUUUCUUCUCCUCCCAAGUCAGCUUGUAGUAGGGCUUCCAAUGCCGCUUCUUCUUUGAGGGGCGUCUCCGAUGUUUUUUCUUGCCCAGCUGUCUCUGUUGCUGUCCCCAUGGCUCCUCGCCUCCGGCGGCAGGAGCCUCCUGCUUGGUGGCCUCCGAGUCAUGAACCGCCAGUGGAUAAGUCCUCCCCAUUCUGGCCCUUCUCGCCCUUCUCCAGGGAGCUCAAUUCUGGACAGGCAUUCGUCUGCAAUGGGGGCAGCUGGUGCUUCAGGCCCCCUUCUCCCUCCUGCCCUGGACGGCUACCGGACUGCAAGGACGCUCUCGAUUGCCACCUACUGUCCUCCUUGGGCACCCGUUCCUCCGCGCUUGGGGGGCGCUCAGAGGUAUGCUCUUCAUGGACAACAGCAGCACCUGUACAGUUGCUAGUUUGAGGCUGGUGUUGAUGUUCUGUCAAGAGUGGCUCGGCCAUGGCUUAGUAGAG
rnacentral:lncRNA from 1 species